rnacentral:rRNA from 1 species
UACGUAGGGUGCAAGCGUUAAUCGGAAUUACUGGGCGUGAAGCGUGCGCAGGCGGUGAUGUAAGACAGGUGUGAAAUCCCCGGGCUUAACCUGGGAACUGCAUUUGUGACUGCAUCGCUGGAGUGCGGCAGAGGGGGAUGGAAUUCCGCGUGUAGCAGUGAAAUGCGUAGAUAUGCGGAGGAACACCGAUGGCGAAGGCAAUCCCCUGGGCCUGCACUGACGCUCAUGCACGAAAGCGUGGGGAGCAAACAGG